rnacentral:rRNA from 1 species
GUCUAUGGCCAUGCCACCCUGAACAUGCCCAAUCUUGUCUGAUCUUGGAAGCUAAGCAGGGUUGGGCCUGGUUAGUACUUGGAUGGGAGACCACCUAGGAGGACCAGGUGCUGUAGGCG